GAGGUGGGAGACAAGCCACGCGUGCCAUGACAGCAUAGCCCUCCCUCAGGACCAAGGGGGGGCUGCUCCUGCCUGCGCCCCUUUGCCUCCCCCCGUGGGCUGAUGCAGGGUCUCCACAGACUGUUGCCCUCAAACACCAAAAAGCCUGAAUUCCAGUUGGCAGGGAGAGGUGGCUCAGCUUUCCUCUGGUGUGUGGGGAAAGCCAAGCACCCUGGGGCAGCACCACUCAGGAUUUGCAUGGCAAGAUGAAAUUCAAGGGGUGUUUUAACAGCAACCCCCCACCCCACAGCCAGAGCAUCCCCCUCACAGCUGGACCACGCCGAGGGAUGCAGGCUGGGGGAUGCGGGGACACGGGCUGGAGCCCAAUGUUAGCAGCGAGAAGGGACCACGCUGGAUUCGUGCAUAUGGUGUUGGGGGGUCAGGACCUCCAUCCUGUUCCCAUGGGGCAGAGAGGUGCUAAAAGCGAUGCUCAGCCCGGCAUCCGUGCCAGGAGCCCCCCCAAACCCGAGCUCCGCUGGCCAGCGGGAGUGGGAGGUAAUUUAUGGUGGGUACAUGGCAAAGCUCUGCGGCGCUAAUAAGGUACCGGCUGAAGCUGUUCCCCGACUGCGCCUGGUGAUAGAUCUUGGCUUGUCAGGUCCAAAAAUUAAAAUAUUAUUGAUGGGCGAAGUGAAGUGCAGCAGGAUUUUUUAUUUUCUAUUUUAUUUUUCUUCUUCCUUGAGCUGGGAGCUCUCCCAGGCAGCAUCUGACCCUGACUGCCCCCGGCGCUCCCCACUGCAUCCUAUCACACUGGGAUAGCUUGGAUUUAUAUUGCCUUUUUUUGGUGGAAUUCCGCCCAUCAUCCCCCCCCUGCCCCCCAACCCGGCCCUAGGAAGCAACGCAGGACCUCUAUGGAGGAUGGGGGCUGCAUCCUCCCUGUCGCAUCAGCACCCUCCACAAGGAAACUUCUCUGCAACAACCCUCUCCUGAACCGUUCCCGGCUGCAGGAUUUCUGGAAACAGGGAUUUUGGGGAGAGUUGGGAUUAAUUAAUUCAAGCCCAGGUAGAGGAGACUUCAGCGAAGCAGCAGAACAGCUGCCACAUCAAAAGAAGUGCUGCUCUCCGGGCAGGGAAAUGCCGGGGGCUAUUUUUAACUAAUUAAAUAGAUGAUUUAGCACCAGGCUGAUACUUUUACCAAAAAAAUUGAACACAAAAGUCUGAUUAAACCGCGGGGCUUUGAUCAAACCCAUAUUUCAAAUCCCAGCCCAUCACCUCGGGCCAUGUUUCCCCCCUGGGGCUAAGCCCCCCCAGCUGCUCCUGGCCCCUAAUUUGUCCCCAUGGACCCAGUCAGGCAUGAAUUAGCCCCAAAAUCAGACUUGGGGAUGUUUAUUCCUGAUGGGAAAAGCCAGGAAGGACUAAAUUCAUAAUGCUGGUGAGGAGCCCUGAUGUGAUGGGGAUUGAUAGCAAUCUACCUAGCUAUCCAGGGCUGGAAAAAUCCAUCUUUCUGGGUCAGAAUUGCAAACCCAGCUUUAUUUUUGGGAACAAAAAAUGGAGUUUUAUUUCCUGCCCUUGUUGUGCAAAGCGUCUUAGCCAUGGUCUCUGCUUGCAGGUGCUGGGAGCUUGGUCCAGGGAGUCCCAGAAAAAUCCAGGGAGCCCAGGACCAUGCACUGGCCACGGAAGGUAUUUAACUUUUUAAUUAGUUUUAUUUUUUUAUAGCUGGACUCCCAAAGGCACUGCACGGGAUGAGGCAGCGGGUGGCGAACAGCCCCAGCGUCACAGAUGCUCAGGGGUGUUCUUGCUUCUCUCUCACCUGAUGGAUGCGGCCGUGGGGGCCAGUGGGUGUUUUUGUCAAGGCCCCCCAUCCCCCGAGCACAUUGGGAUGUUGUCCCUCGCAUCCCCUCAGGAUGUACAAAUUAAAGAAGAAGCCAGUAUUUCUAGCUUUUCCUACCUUUUUAGCCACUUUAGCAAUCCCUGGUCUUAUUCCCUUGCGCUCACAGGAGAUGCACCAAAUGCAGUUUGAGGUAUGGGGGAUAUACUUCAAACCAUAAAUCAACAGAUUUACACAUUAUAUUCAGAUUCAAACACACCCUCAUUACUGAAAAAGAUAUUAUCCCCUCUCUGCCGCCCUUUUAUUCUCCCAAAUAAAUGCAGCCAAGUCUCAGUUUCUACAGGAUAUUUAUCACAGAGCCACAUUAUUGCACAUUGUGCUCUUACGAGCCGAGAAGUAGCAGGCUAAGUUUAUUCCUGUGUUUUCUUUUAGCUAAAUAAUCACAAAUUCUUAAUUCAAUUCUUAAGUACGCCCGUCAAGGAUAAAUAUGGAUAUAGAGGUGUAGUUGAGGAAAAUCCAGCUGUGUUGGCUUAGCUGAAAAAUAACCCUGGGACGCGGGUGCGGGUGGUGUGGGGUGUUUUUUUUUCCCUUUCCUAUGUGGUUUAUUAAUAUUUCUUUUAUACACAUUAGAGAUUCACGUCUCGUCUGUUUAUUCUGAGAUCAUCGGGGAGGGGGAAAACCCAUCAGACCCCACGUAGGCGGAGCUGGAAGGGGCUAUAUAGGGGCGGGCGGCGCGGGGCUGCGGCAGAGCGCGGUGGCACCAUGGGCUGGCUCCUGCACACCCUCUGCUUGCUCCUGCUCCCUCACCUCCUGCCCCUGCGCCAUUAUCACCGGGGUAAGUGCCAGCUCCAUCCCCAGCCUGGCAGGUUUAUUUAUUUUUUAUGGUUGUUGGGGUAAAUAAAGCAGGAAUCGGUCCCUUUC